rnacentral:rRNA from 1 species
CAUGCAAGUCGAGCGGUAGCACAGAGAGCUUGCUCUCGGGUGACGAGCGGCGGACGGGUGAGUAAUGUCUGGGAAACUGCCUGAUGGAGGGGGAUAACUACUGGAAACGGUAGCUAAUACCGCAUAACGUCGCAAGACCAAAGUGGGGGACCUUCGGGCCUCAUGCCAUCAGAUGUGCCCAGAUGGGAUUAGCUAGUAGGUGGGGUAACGGCUCACCUAGGCGACGAUCCCUAGCUGGUCUGAGAGGAUGACCAGCCACACUGGAACUGAGACACGGUCCAGACUCCUACGGGAGGCAGCAGUGGGGAAUAUUGCACAAUGGGCGCAAGCCUGAUGCAGCCAUGCCGCGUGUGUGAAGAAGGCCUUCGGGUUGUAAAGCACUUUCAGCGGGGAGGAAGGCGUUAAGGUUAAUAACCUUGGCGAUUGACGUUACCCGCAGAAGAAGCACCGGCUAACUCCGUGCCAGCAGCCGCGGUAAUACGGAGGGUGCAAGCGUUAAUCGGAAUUACUGGGCGUAAAGCGCACGCAGGCGGUCUGUCAAGUCGGA